rnacentral:rRNA from 1 species
UACGUAGGGGGCAAGCGUUGUCCGGAUUUAUUGGGCGUAAAGAGCGUGUAGGCGGCUUAGUAGGUCCGCUGUGAAAACUCGAGGCUCAACCUCGAGAUGUCGGCGGAAACCACUUGGCUAGAGUCCGGAAGAGGAGAGUGGAAUUCCUGGUGUAGCGGUGAAAUGCGCAGAUAUCGGGAGGAACACCUAUUGCGAAGGCAGCUCGCUGGGACGUAACUGACGCUGAGACGCGAAAGCGUGGGGAGCAAACAGG